UUUUGAAACACAGGGAGCCCCGCUGUGCGGAGAUCCAGGCACCUUUAAUUCAGCAAGAGGGGCUGAAAAACCCUCCACAUUUUGGAAGAAGGAUCCAAACCCCUGUUUUAGGUAAAGAGAGCCCCCAACGUUUUGGGGGAUGGUCUGAAGGCCGCCAUUUGUAGGGACACAGAGCCCUGGUGUGCAGGUCUGGGCCAGCAGCCCCCAGCUGGAUUGGGGAGCCCACCCCCUCUACUGGUUUCCAGGAACAGCUGGGCCCAGCCUAGGUUGUACUGCUGGGAAGCGGCUGACUCAACCCCUCCCUGUGGCCACAGCUGGACCCCGGCCUGCCCCCUCCAGCGUUCACAUCUGGGCAGGGAUCCAGUCUUCAUCAGGGCUGAGAAGGGGACCCUCAGUCC
rnacentral:lncRNA from 1 species